UGGGGAAUAUUGGACAAUGGGGGCAACCCUGAUCCAGCAAUGCCGCGUGUGCGAUGAAGGCCUGCGGGUUGUAAAGCACUUUCGGUGGGGAAGAAAUGCUCAAAUAUAAUACAUUUGGGAGCUGACGUUACCCACAGAAGAAGCACCGGCAAACUCCGUGCCAGCAGCCGCGGUAAUACGGAGGGUGCAAGCGUUGUUCGGAAUCACUGGGCGUAAAGGGCGCGUAGGCGGUUUGAUAAGUCGAUGGUGAAAUCCUUCAGCUUAACUGAAGAGCUGCCGUCGAUACUGUUGAUCUUGAAUACAGGAGAGGGUAACGGAAUUCCAGGUGUAGCGGUGAAAUGCUUAGAUAUCUGGAAGAACACCGGUAGCGAAGGCUGUUGCCUGGCCUGGUAUUGACGCUCAGGGACGAAAGCGUGGGGAUCAAACG
rnacentral:rRNA from 1 species